rnacentral:rRNA from 1 species
GGGUUGUGAGGUUAAGCGACUAAGCGUACACGGUGGAUGCCCUGGCAGUCAGAGGCGAUGAAGGACGUGCUAAUCUGCGAAAAGCGUCGGUAAGGUGAUAUGAACCGUUAUAACCGGCGAUGUCCGAAUGGGGAAACCCAGUGCAAUUCGUUGCACUAUCGUUAACUGAAUACAUAGGUUAACGAGGCGAACCGGGGGAACUGAAACAUCUAAGUACCCCGAGGAAAAGAAAUCAACCGAGAUUCCCCAGUAGCGGCGAGCGAACGGGGAGCAGCCCAGAGUCUGAAUCAGCUUGUGUGUUAGUGGAACGGUCUGGAAAGUCCGACGGUACAGGGUGAUAGUCCCGUACACCAAAAUGCACAGGUUGUGAACUCGAAGAGUAGGGCGGGACACGUGGUAUCCUGUCUGAAUAUGGGGGGACCAUCCUCCAAGGCUAAAUACUCCUGACUGACCGAUAGUGAACCAGUACCGUGAGGGAAAGGCGAAAAGAACCCCGGCGAGGGGAGUGAAAAAGAACCUGAAACCGUGUACGUACAAGCAGUGGGAGCACCUUCGGGUGUGACUGCGUACCUUUUGUAUAAUGGGUCAGCGACUUAUAUUCUGUAGCAAGGUUAACCGUAUAGGGGAGCCGCAGGGAAACCGAGUCUUAACUGGGCGUUAAGUUGCAGGGUAUAGACCCGAAACCCGGUGAUCUAGCCAUGGGCAGGUUGAAGGUUGGGUAACACUAACUGGAGGACCGAACCGACUAAUGUUGAAAAAUUAGCGGAUGACUUGUGGCUGGGGGUGAAAGGCCAAUCAAACCGGGAGAUAGCUGGUUCUCCCCGAAAGCUAUUUAGGUAGCGCCUCGUGAACUCAUCUUCGGGGGUAGAGCACUGUUUCGGCUAGGGGGUCAUCCCGACUUACCAACCCGAUGCAAACUACGAAUACCGAAGAAUGUUAUCACGGGAGACACACGGCGGGUGCUAACGUCCGUCGUGAAGAGGGAAACAACCCAGACCGCCAGCUAAGGUCCCAAAGUCAUGGUUAAGUGGGAAACGAUGUGGGAAGGCACAGACAGCCAGGAUGUUGGCUUAGAAGCAGCCAUCAUUUAAAGAAAGCGUAAUAGCUCACUGGUCGAGUCGGCCUGCGCGGAAGAUGUAACGGGGCUAAACCAUGCACCGAAGCUGCGGCAGCGACACUAUGUGUUGUUGGGUAGGGGAGCGUUCUGUAAGCCUGCGAAGGUGUGCUGUGAGGCAUGCUGGAGGUAUCAGAAGUGCGAAUGCUGACAUAAGUAACGAUAAAGCGGGUGAAAAGCCCGCUCGCCGGAAGACCAAGGGUUCCUGUCCAACGUUAAUCGGGGCAGGGUGAGUCGACCCCUAAGGCGAGGCCGAAAGGCGUAGUCGAUGGGAAACAGGUUAAUAUUCCUGUACUUGGUGUUACUGCGAAGGGGGGACGGAGAAGGCUAUGUUAGCCGGGCGACGGUUGUCCCGGUUUAAGCAUGUAGGCUGAUUGUCCAGGCAAAUCCGGAUAAUCAAGGCUGAGGUGUGAUGACGAGGCACUACGGUGCUGAAGUAACAAAUGCCCUGCUUCCAGGAAAAGCCUCUAAGCAUCAGGUAACAUUAAAUCGUACCCCAAACCGACACAGGUGGUCAGGUAGAGAAUACCAAGGCGCUUGAGAGAACUCGGGUGAAGGAACUAGGCAAAAUGGUGCCGUAACUUCGGGAGAAGGCACGCUGGUGUGUAGGUGAAGUCCCUGCGGAUGGAGCUGAGACCAGUCGAAGAUACCAGCUGGCUGCAACUGUUUAUUAAAAACACAGCACUGUGCAAACACGAAAGUGGACGUAUACGGUGUGACGCCUGCCCGGUGCCGGAAGGUUAAUUGAUGGGGUUAUCCGUAAGGAGAAGCUCUUGAUCGAAGCCCCGGUAAACGGCGGCCGUAACUAUAACGGUCCUAAGGUAGCGAAAUUCCUUGUCGGGUAAGUUCCGACCUGCACGAAUGGCGUAAUGAUGGCCAGGCUGUCUCCACCCGAGACUCAGUGAAAUUGAACUCGCUGUGAAGAUGCAGUGUACCCGCGGCAAGACGGAAAGACCCCGUGAACCUUUACUAUAGCUUGACACUGAACAUUGAGCCUUGAUGUGUAGGAUAGGUGGGAGGCUUUGAAGCGUGGACGCCAGUCUGCGUGGAGCCAACCUUGAAAUACCACCCUUUAAUGUUUGAUGUUCUAACGUUGGCCCCUGACCGGGGUUGCGGACAGUGUCUGGUGGGUAGUUUGACUGGGGCGGUCUCCUCCCAAAGCGUAACGGAGGAGCACGAAGGUUAGCUAAUCCUGGUCGGACAUCAGGAGGUUAGUGCAAUGGCAUAAGCUAGCUUGACUGCGAGCGUGACGGCGCGAGCAGGUGCGAAAGCAGGUCAUAGUGAUCCGGUGGUUCUGAAUGGAAGGGCCAUCGCUCAACGGAUAAAAGGUACUCCGGGGAUAACAGGCUGAUACCGCCCAAGAGUUCAUAUCGACGGCGGUGUUUGGCACCUCGAUGUCGGCUCAUCACAUCCUGGGGCUGAAGUAGGUCCCAAGGGUAUGGCUGUUCGCCAUUUAAAGUGGUACGCGAGCUGGGUUUAGAACGUCGUGAGACAGUUCGGUCCCUAUCUGCCGUGGGCGCUGGAGAAUUGAGGGGGCUGCUCCUAGUACGAGAGGACCGGAGUGGACGCAUCACUGGUGUUCGGGUUGUCAUGCCAAUGGCACUGCCCGGUAGCUAAAUGCGGAAGAGAUAAGUGCUGAAAGCAUCUAAGCACGAAACUUGCCCCGAGAUGAGUUCUCCCUGAGACUUUAAGUCUCCUGAAGGAACGUUGAAGACGACGACGUUGAUAGGCCGGGUGUGUAAGCGCAGCGAUGCGUUGAGCUAACCGGUACUAAUGAACCGUGAGGCUUAACCUUACAACGCCGAAG